CUGGUGGCUCAGUUGGUUAGAGCGCCGCCCUGUCACGGCGGAGGUCGCGGGUUCGAACCCCGCUCA
rnacentral:tRNA from 1 species